GCAGUCGCCGCGGUAAUACGUAGGGUGCAAGCGUUGUCCGGAAUUAUUGGGCGUAAAGAGCUCGUAGGCGGUUUGCUACGUCGGAUGUGAAACCCUGAGGCUCAACCUCAGGCCUGCAUACGAUACGGGCUAACUAGAGUGUGGUAGGGGAGACUGGAAUUCCUGGUGUAGCGGUGAAAUGCGCAGAUAUCAGGAGGAACACCGGUGGCGAAGGCGGGUCUCUGGGCCAUUACUGACGCUGAGGAGCGAAAGCGUGGGGAGCAAACAGGAUUAGAUACCCCAGUAGUCCCUGUCUCUUAUAC
rnacentral:rRNA from 1 species